rnacentral:lncRNA from 1 species
AUGACCCCCUAAACUAUUUUAAAGUAGAAUUAUUGUCCCCCUGAACGCUGACAUGGCAAAGAGUGCGUUUCACUCUCUUUAAAGAGAGUGAGAACGAAUUUUUUUAUUAAAAAUUUAUUUUAAAUAUUUCUUUACUCUUUUCUUUAUACAUUUUUAAUUCUUAUUCUUCUUUAUUCAUUUUCUUUCUUCUUCUUCUUCUUCUGGAACUCAACAAUGGCAUCUUCAAGAACUCAAUAAUGACAUCCAAUCCAAAACUAAUUUAUCAUCUCCUUCGAUAUAAAUCACAGUAAAUGGUCAAACUAGACCAACUACCAUUUCAUCCAAACUAACAAUCACCUCCCUA